AGAUCGAAUUGUAAACUUUAGAGUCGUUGUCCAGACCAGCCGAGUAAAUAAGUUCCUUGGAAUAGGACAUCAUGGAGGGUGAGAAUCCCGUCUUUGGCUUGAGCAUUGGUCUUUUGUGAUGCGACUUCAACGAGUCAGGUUGUUUGGGAAUGCAGCCUUAAUUGGGUGGUAAAUCUCACCUAAAGCUAAAUAUUGGCGAGAGACCGAUAGCGAACAAGUACCGUGAGGGAAAGAUGAAAAGAACUUUGAAAAGAGAGUUAAACAGUAUGUGAAAUUGCUAAAAGGGAACCGUUUGAAGUCAGUCUGGCUGGUCUGCAAUCAGCUUCAACUUUGGUUGGAGUGCACUUGUAGGCCAUUUUGCCUGCCAACAACAGUUUGUUCUGCAGCAAAAAGGUGUUGAGAAUGUAGCUUUCUCUUCGGAGGAAGUGUUAUAGCUCUUCGCGAAAUACUGUGGUUCAGACUGAGGCUUGCAGUGAAUGCUAUUUUGGCUUUGGGGAUGGAUUGCUCAGUGCUUUGCUUGG
rnacentral:rRNA from 1 species